rnacentral:rRNA from 1 species
AGUCRAGAGGAAACAGCCCAGAGCAUCGACUAAGGCCCCUAAGCGUACGCUAAGUGGGAAAGGAUGUGGAGUCGCAGAGACAACCAGGAGGUUGGCUUAGAAGCAGCCACCCUUGAAAGAGUGCGUAAUAGCUCACUGGUCAAGUGAUUCCGCGCCGACAAUGUAGCGGGGCUCAAGCGUACCGCCGAAGUCGUGUCAUUCCCRCAURUACGGCCAACGSCKGCKGGGAUGGGUAGGGGAGCGUCGUGUGCCGGGUGAAGCAGCCGCGGAAGCGAGUUGUGGACGGUUCACGAGUGAGAAUGCAGGCAUGAGUAGCGAUACACACGUGAGAAACGUGUGCGCCGAUUGACUAAGGGUUCCUGGGUCAAGCUGAUCUGCCCAGGGUAAGUCGGGACCUAAGGCGAGGCCGACAGGCGUAGUCGAUGGACAACCGGUUGAUAUUCCGGUACCCGCUUUGAAACGCCCAAUACUGAAUCAGGCGAUGCUAAGUCCGUGAAGCCGGCCCGAUCUCUUCGGAGUUGAGGGUAGUGGUGGAGCCGACGAACCAGACUUGUACUAGGUAAGCGAUGGGGUGACGCAGGAAGGUAGUCCAGCCCGGGCGGUGGUUGUCCCGGGGUAAGGGUGUAGGACGCACGGUAGGCAAAUCCGUCGUGCAUAUAAGUCUGAGACCUGAUGCCGAGCCGAUUGUGGUGAAGUGGAUGAUCCUAUGCUGUCGAGAAAAGCCUCUAGCGAGUUUCAUGGCGGCCCGUACCCUAAACCGACUCAGGUAGUCAGGUAGAGAAUACCGAGGCGUUCGGGUGAACUAUGGUUAAGGAACUCGGCAAAAUGCCCCCGUAACUUCGGGAGAAGGGGGGCCAUCACUGGUGAUCCGAUUUACUCGGUGAGCUGGGGGUGGCCGCAGAGACCAGCGAGAAGCGACUGUUUACUAAAAACACAGGUCCGUGCGAAGCCGUAAGGCGAUGUAUACGGACUGACGCCUGCCCGGUGCUGGAACGUUAAGGGGAACCGGUUAGCUG